ensembl:lncRNA
GCUUAAGCAGGAGUCCCUGGUAGAAAGACUGAAAAAUCCCUUCCCCGCUCGAUGGUGGAUUCAUAUCCUGUGCGGCCUCUAGGAAGCGCUAGACACAUCUAUCUUGGGAGGCAUACAUUUUUACCUAGACUUUUCGUGGAAGGAAAUGGUCCCAGAAAGUUCAUGCGUCUUGCUUGGGGUAUACAGACAGCUGGAAAGUGAGCUCAGGCUUGCUUCAGAAAGUCACACAUCUUCCCAUGUCACCUGACAAUACAAGGGACUUCAAGGACAUACAGAAGAACAGAGUCCUUGGUCUCUGAAUGACCCUGUGGAAGGAUACUCACUGGCCAGAAGUAGUCCUUCCAGACUUUGAAUGACAAAUCAACUUCAUUGUGCUGGUCCACUGGGAUUUUGGAGUAAAGAUGGCAAUAUCUUCUAAUUCCACUUGGUGUUUAGGAUGCCCUUCAUAAGAAGAAACCCUGGGUCAAAGUUGAGGCUUAUGUUCUGGCUUUCCCAGCUUGAAAAGAAAGAAACUUGUAUACUGUCACCUUCCUAUUGAGGGUGCAAACUUCAUGAGUUGUGAUCCUAUCACCUGGCCCUUGAAAGAAGUCCUCUGGAAGAGCUGAGGCACAGAGAUGAUUCCCAGUGAAGCACUCAGGAAGCUGAGACAGAAGGAUAGCUACAAGUUUGAGGCCUGCCUGGUAUACACAGUGAAUGCAGUGUCUCCAAACAAACAGUGAACACAGCAAUGAAAAUAUGGAGCAUUUAACCAGAGUACUCAUUGCCUGGCACAGCAGGGAAGUCUACAGCCAUGCAGCUUAUGCCACUUCCGAUAGGACACUAAUACUCAAAGUCGUUCAUGGAGAUGUUAUUGGAUUGCGCUGGGGACCGCAGUUCCUUGAUAAUGAGUAAUUGUUUGCUCAAGCUUUAGCCAAGUGUAAAUAUAAAUAUAACCGGGAUGGUUUACCCGUCCAUUGCCAUCCAUGCACUACUGUACCGAGUGCUGUGGCUGACGUGAGAACUGAAUGCAUGGAGCUGCAAUGGUGGACUCCAGGCCUGCUUCGUCAUCGUCAGAUAUGUCAUUUAACAGCUGAGCCUCGCUUUCCUCACAUGAAAAAUGAUUGCGAUGAUUGAUAUUUACCUCAGAGAAUUUAAAUGGGACUGCCACCGUACCUAUGGGAAAGUCACUGCUGAACUGGUGACAUUUCUGUAUAUAUGUAUGUUAUUUAGUGUUUAUAUAUUUAUACGUGGAUUCCUGAAAUAGCAGUUCCGCAGAGUUGAGCAUUAGAAAACAGCUGGUCUUUUGCAAGGCCCAGUUUGAGGCAGACCAUACAAGCUGCUAGAAUACCCUGGCCACAGUGUUAAGACAAAACUGAAAGAAACACAAACUGAAAGAGAUUUGAAUGAGGAAAUACACCCACACUUACAUGCUAACAGCUAAUAGGGGACUUUACUUUGAAGCUAGCCAAGGUUGCUUGACAGAAGGCUGAGAAAAGAUGAGGCUGCUGAGUGAAGCCAGAGAGAUUAUGCUCAAAGUCAAGUAGAUACCAUACAAUAAGCUUUUCCAAGGUCUAUCAUCUUGGGAGGAAAAACAAACCAAACCAAAACCCUUAUAUUGCUGUCUUCCCACUGGUCAGCAGACUUUCAGUAACUCUGCCUUGCUGUAAGGUGCAUCACAGUGUUGUGCAUUAGAGCAGUGUGGGCCACACAGGCAACUGGCAUGUUUCAAACUUCCACAGAUUUCUUGGCUUCAUUAUCAGGAGAAGUAUGCGAUCCCAUAGGUAAUGUUCAGUAAGAGAUGUAUCUGUCCUGCCCCGUCUCAGACUGAUCACGUUCUGCCCUCUGUCUCCUUGGCUGUAGGGCUCCUCUUCACUGGCUGUGAACUCCUUAAGUAAGGUUCCUGAUGUUCAUGUUUGUUCUCUAAGGUUGAGCACAGGGUCGGUCCCUGGAACAGAGCCGUUGCAUUGCAGUUGAACUUCUAGUAGCCAAGGCAAACCUCUGGACCCUCUGUGGUAGCACCAGGAUCCACCAACAGGCAACACAAGCUGAGGCCCGGAGGCUUCUGUGGGACCAUGUAUGAUUCCACUUCAUCUCCUGCAACCCUGUUGCUCUCCAAUAUGGCAAGAGGAGCAUUGGGUCUUCCUCCUUUGUUAAGACAUUUAUACCAGUUGAGCAAGAAGUCGGUGCUAGAGCGGCAGCAGCCGGUUUGGAGCGCAGUCUCUUCCUCAUGGAACCCUGGCCGGAUCACUGGUCUUCACCACCACUGUAAACUUCUAAAUUCCCUCUUGUUAAACAAAUUAGAGUGGGUUCAAGGUUAUAUUUUGAUAUUAAUAGUUUUACCCUCAUCGCCCCGUGAUCAAAGAGAAAAGGGUGAGGGGACAACUAUCAGCUGGAACUGUAGUACACUUUCCUUCUCUUACAGACCUAGUGCUUCCAAUGCGCCCUGCCUGUCUCUCCACACUCUCAAGGUCUUCUCCACUCAUCUUCUUGGCUGUGUGGAUUUGAAAACACACAGCGUUUGUCCGUAAUCUCAUCCUCAUCCACACUGACUGUGGAUAACCGGAUGUGUUUUGUGAGGCCCCUCAGUCUCAACAUGGUUUUACAGACUCGGUCCUAAGCAGGUAUCACAUUCUUACUGACCCACAGCUGCUGUGCUACUUAGGUUUGUGUCUGUUGGAAUUCCAGGGCAAAUAUUUAUAAUUAUAUCAGCUCAGAGAGUACUUCUUCUGCAUACUUCUGAGUUCAGAACCUCAGACUUUUUUCUUAAAGCUACUCAGCGUCUCACUCAGCCAGAGGAGAAGAGACCUGUCCGCUUUAGCUCUCCACUCUUUGUAGUUCAACAGCAGCCUGGUUUAGGCCGGGACAAGGGUGAAGGUGGUGGAGGUGGUGGUGAUGUAUUGAUGAUAAAGAGAACAAUAAUAUCUAUGAGAAUUUUAUUACCCCCAUUUUACAGAUAAAACAACUAAGCUUCACAGAGGUGAGGUAACUUCCUCUGCCAUCCAGGUGGAUGGUCAGGGUCAGGAGCCUCGUGAGUGAGAACAACAGGUCUGUCGAGUUCUGCAGGGCUGAGCUGUUUAUCAUUGCGGAGGACACUCAUCACUGUGCUAAUUACAUUAAUUGCUGCCCACUCUGAGGCUAGCUCCUUCCUGCAAUGGCCCAAGACUGUAAUUACAGGUUGGAUUGGUUGGAAGUUGGUUGCUCUCUACCAUGUAGGGGAAAGGUCAAGACUAUGAACAUUGCUCUUCAUCAGACGCCUUACUGGAAGCAGAGAGGAAGGAUGAGGGUUCCUGUGGUAAUCUCAUGAUUCUCUAGAAGCAGGUGCUCUCCUACCCUCAUUCUGUUUGAGGGAGCCUGGUCAGCUGCUUGGAGUCCAAGAGCUAGCGGGAGAGGAGACAGUCUGAAAGCAGGAACCAUCAGAAGUCAUCCUUAGUGCCCAUAACAUAGUACCCCUCACCAGGACACUGCUCUGUCUGACACUGAAGUAUUGGCAGGGUCGGGCAAGGUGCCAACAAGUGGGUUUUGUCUAUCCCUAAAUGAUGACUGCUUGAGAUCUCACCUGCUCUGCCUUCCUUCCUGAGAUUCCAAGAGAAAUUGCUUGGAAGUGUAUUAAAUGCAAACUAAGUCAGAUGUAAGCCAUGGUGUUUUUCUGUUUGAUCUGUUAAGAGGUAAUUUGGAGACUACUUCUGCAUACUUGUUGAACAG